GGACCAGGAAGCGGGCGGCGGCCCCUCUGCUGCUAAGCAGCUUCCGCGCUUCAGGUCCCGCGGCUCUGCGUGUUCGGACCCUCAGGGCCGAGCGCCAAGUGCCCAACUCGCUGCUCCGUGGAGCUGACCGCGUUCUGAGAUCUACAGAAACACAAGAAAACUUUACAUGUAAAAAAUGAUAGGAGACAGCAGUUGAGGAAUAGCAAUUAAUUGACAGCUCUGGAGUACAGAAGUCUGAAAUGGGUCUCACUGGGCUAAAAUCAAGGUGUCAGCAGGCCCACAUUUCUUCUGGAGGCGCAAACCCAAUUCCUAGCCUUUUCCUUGGCCUGUGGCCUCUUUCCACCUUCAAAACGAACUAUUCCAAACAAGCUAUGAUUCUCUUGGCAAAACAGCCUCAUCAAGAGUCUCACCAGCCUCUCCCUUGGGAACAUAAAGACUCAGACAAGGGGGGGAAGACAAGGCUAGACACCUGUCCCCAAUGGGAAGGAAGAACACACCCGGAAAGCAGCUCUGACAGCGGGAGCCACGGGGAGGAGAACAGUAAUUGGAGAAGAGAGACUGCUUCCAAUCUGUUGCUGGUUUAUAAGGUGGGCUAAGAAUUCCAUUGACAUGAGGCAUGAACAGAAGAAAAAAAAAGUUUAAUGACAUGUAUACCUCCUGUAUACAUGGGAGAGACCCAGAAAAACUGAGUAACUCACCAAAAUGUUGGACGUUAUCACCUUAAAUAUCCUCAGCUAAAGACAACCGAUGUUGGAGGUCAGGAGAAUCAGCUAUGGGAGGGUCCCAGGAAAAAGUACAAUAAAAAGAGUAAAUAUUGCCUUUUCCAUUAGUAAGAGUCACUAGAGAUUGAGUCAUCCCCCUUCCUGGUACACCAUUAGAAAUGGAGAUUUCCCUUAUAUAUGUAUGCAUCCUUUAUAAAGGGUAACUUCUGCUUGGUUUUCAGAGCGUCCCCAGGGUUUGCUGUUUCUUAAAAAGAACCAGCUUAAAAUAAUCCUUAUGAAAAAGAGACACACUUUUGGGUAACAAAUUUGGCUCCCCUACACAGUUAUGAGGAAGACAUGUUAAGAGAGCAAAAGUAGGAAUGCAGUAAAACAAAACAAACAAACAAACAAAAAAAACCAAAUAGUAGUCAAAAAGCAAAAGGAGUUUGAGGAUAAUAUAGGAUCCGAAGUCAAGAGAGGAGAGAAUUUCAAGGAGGAACGUGGGCCCCCAAGAAGAAAUAUUUAUUUGAUGUGAACCCUGAGAAAGAAUUUAUCUGCUGAGAUGGACUCCCCCUGGCCAACCGAGAACCCAAAUGUUAUUAAUGAUAAGAACCUAGUGGCCAUUUGCUGACAGGGGCUUCUCACGUACUCUGUAUUCUGGGAAAAUGUCAGAUUGAACUCUAGGCUUCUUGCUCAUUUACACAAAUUGAAUCAACGGUUAUGAGGAAGUUCCUGGCCUGUCUUUUGACCAAUGGACUAAGACCUGCUCCCUCAAUAAGAACUGCUCUAUAAUGACUGGGCAGGAAACAUGUUACUGACUAAUCAGGACUUCCAAACUUGGACCAAUCAGAAGUGUACAAAUUUGGGUAUCUCAUUUACAUAAUAUGGACCUAAUUGGGAACCUGGUUGGGAACUUUCUAUAUGAAAGGUAACCCCCCCCGCCCCCGCUUGUUGAUGCAUUCCCUGUCAAGGGCAUAUGUGGGGUUGUGACCUGAUCCCUGGUAGGGGGGUCUAUGGAUGUUGCAUUCUCACAUCUGUAUGUCUCUCUUCCUCUCACUUCCUCUCUCUAAAAAUCAAUAAAUUACUCUGUCUUUUUUGUUUUUAAGACAAAAAUCCCCUUUUUCUCAGCAGAACACAAUUUAGGUUACUCCUUGAAUCAGUGUCUCCAGGGCUGCAGCUCCUUUUGUUCAAAUGCUUUGUAUUCUUUAUUACAGUCUAAAAUUAAUUUUGGUUUACAUCUAGAAUCAAGAGUCUAGAGUUCUAGCCUACCUUGUAGUAGCUAUGUGACUUAGGAUAAGCUACUUAACAUAGAUCCACCUUGGUGUCCUUAUCUAUAAAUUAAAAUGAUGAUGAUGAUACCAGUUCCAUUUCUACAAGAUUAAGAGGAACAAAUCAAAAAAGAUAUCUGAAGGCAUAUUGUAAACCAUAAUGAAAUAUGUAAAU